rnacentral:rRNA from 1 species
AUUGAACGCUGGCGGCAGGCCUAACACAUGCAAGUCGAGCGGAGCGGCGGACGGGGAAGUAUUGGCUAGGAAUCUGCAUGGUAGUGGGAGAUAACGACAGGUAACGGGAGGUAAUACCGCAUCCUAUCAGAAGAGCCUAGGUCGGAUUAGGUAGUUGGUGGGGUAAAGGCCUACCAAGGCAACGAUCCGUAACUGGUCUGAGAGGACGAGCAGUCACACUGGAACUGAGACACGGCCCAGACUCCUACGGGAGCCAGCAGUGGGGAAUAUUGGACAAUGGGCGAAAGCCUGAUCCAGCCAUCCCGCGUGUGUGAUGAAGGUCUUCGGGUUGUAAAGCACUUUUAGUUGGGAAGCGUUACCAACAGAAUAAGCACCGGCUAACUUCGUGCCAGCCGCCGCGGUAAUUC